rnacentral:rRNA from 1 species
UGGAUUAAGAGCUUGCUCUUAUGAAGUUAGCGGCGGACGGGUGAGUAACACGUGGGUAACCUGCCCAUAAGACUGGGAUAACUCCGGGAAACCGGGGCUAAUACCGGAUAACAUUUUGAACUGCAUGGUUCGAAAUUGAAAGGCGGCUUCGGCUGUCACUUAUGGAUGGACCCGCGUCGCAUUAGCUAGUUGGUGAGGUAACGGCUCACCAAGGCAACGAUGCGUAGCCGACCUGAGAGGGUGAUCGGCCACACUGGGACUGAGACACGGCCCAGACUCCUACGGGAGGCAGCAGUAGGGAAUCUUCCGCAAUGGACGAAAGUCUGACGGAGCAACGCCGCGUGAGUGAUGAAGGCUUUCGGGUCGUAAAACUCUGUUGUUAGGGAAGAACAAGUGCUAGUUGAAUAAGCUGGCACCUUGACGGUACCUAACCAGAAAGCCACGGCUAACUACGUGCCAGCAGCCGCGGUAAUACGUAGGUGGCAAGCGUUAUCCGGAAUUAUUGGGCGUAAAGCGCGCGCAGGUGGUUUCUUAAGUCUGAUGUGAAAGCCCACGGCUCAACCGUGGAGGGUCAUUGGAAACUGGGAGACUUGAGUGCAGAAGAGGAAAGUGGAAUUCCAUGUGUAGCGGUGAAAUGCGUAGAGAUAUGGAGGAGCACCAGUGGCGAAGGCGACUUUCUGGUCUGUAACUGACACUG